ensembl:lncRNA
CUUUGGCCACCUGAUAUGAAGAACUGACUCAUCAAAAAAGACCCUGAUGCUGGGAAGGAUUGAAGGCAGGAGCAGAUGGGGACGACAGAGGAUAAGAUGGUUGGAUGCCAUCACCGACUCAAUGGACAUGAGCUAGAGCAGGCUCUAGGAGGUGGUGAAGGACAGGGAGGCCUGGAAUGCUGCAGUCCACGGGGUGGCAAAGAGUCGGACAUGACUGAGUGUCUGAACAACAACAACAACUGCUUUGAGCAGCUGACAUCCACUAAGAAGGAACUACACGCCAAGCAUCGUGCUAAACUCUGCGAAUAUAUGUUCUCAUUUAAUGAGAAAAUGCCAGUGAGGCUGUGAGUUUCAGUUUAUAUUUUGCACUUGUGGCCUAUCUUAACUUGGGGCAGCCGUAUUGCAAGUGCUCGGCGGCCGUGUCCGGCCCAUGGCCACCGCACUGAGCAGUGUACCCUCACCCGCGCACCAUCAUGCCUGAGUCUUUGAAGACGGUGUCAUCCGGGUUUACCAGACUGUAUUUAUUGAGGAAGAAGAUUUUCCUUUUUUCAACAAAGAUGAUGCCACCAUAUGGAUCAAAUUCCGUCUUCAAAUAGAAAGAGAUAUUUUCAAACAUCCUUGAACUGAGCAUGCAGAAUGAGGGCGGCAUGGUGCUUACAUACCCACUAAUCUCUGUUAUGACAUGUCUGCAUGACGGAGAGGAUCAUACUCCUGGGUUGAGGAAAGGAGGGCUGUCCACAGAUGACACGUGAGUGGAGCCAUCAUGUUCCUGUAUAUACUCGGUAGAUAUAUGGACAGGCUGGACUAGGUAAAUCUAAUCCUUUGCCAUUAUUCAUUUCACUUUCCUGAAUUCUGUGGUAUUUCCAAGGAGUGACUGCUUUUCUUCUGGGUUAAGUAGAAAUCUUUGCCUAAGUCAAAACCACUUACUUUAAAU